GAACGCUGGCGGCGUGGAUUAGGCAUGCAAGUCGUGCGCGAAACCGGUAGCAAUACUGGGAGUAGAGCGGCGAACUGGUGAGUACAAGGUGACUAACGUGCCCUCNAGUGGGGGAUAACCUUCCGAAAGGAGGGCUAAUACCGCAUGGUCUUGCCGGGACUUCGGUCCCGACAAGUAAAGCAGCAAUGCGCUCGAGGAUCGGGUCACCUCCCAUUAGCUAGUUGGUAGGGUAACGGCCUACCAAGGCUACGAUGGGUAGCUGGUCUGAGAGGAUGGUCAGCCACACUGGGACUGAGAUACGGCCCAGACUCCUACGGGGGGCAGCAGUCUAGAGGCUUCGGCAAUGCCCGAAAGGGUGACCGAGCGACGCCGCGUGCGGGAUGAAGGCCUUCGGGUUGUAAACCGCUUUUGUCUGGGAAGAAAGCCAUGGUCGUGCACUGUGGUCUGACGGUACCGGACGAAUAAGCCCCGGCUAACUCCGUGCCAGCAGCCGCGGUAAGACGGAGGGGGCGAGCGUUGUUCGGAAUUAUUGGGCGUAAAGGGCGCGUAGGCGGAUCGGCGGGUCCGGCGUGAAAUCUCCACCACUCAACGGGGAGGCGCCGCUGGAAACUACCGAUCUGGAGUUCGGUAGAGGAGCAUGGAAUUCCGGGUGUAGCGGU
rnacentral:rRNA from 1 species